rnacentral:rRNA from 1 species
CCAACAUUUAGGUCCCGAUGAACUUCUAUGUAAUAUUCAAAAUCGCAUAGGGUAAAGCGUUCCCGCGCCUCUUUUUGCCUAUGGUGAAGCGUCAUAUUAGUCGGGUUCAACUUCCCCAUCGCCUAUGCCCCGUUUACUUUACUCCUCAUAUUUGUAUAUCCCCUGUGCGUUUCUUUUUUCCUCUCCUGUGAAAUCGCCGGCUAAUAUGCUAUGGUGGGUAUAAGUCAUCGCGAAUCUUUGUUGAAAGGCCAGCGAAUUCGAAAGACCGUCCAUAUACCUAGAUCUCACAAUGAUAUGAAGCUAAUUCUAAAAUCACGGGUAAAAUAUAUGUAACAUAAAUGUAAAGCUGGUCAUUUUAACCUCAGUCUUGCAUAACGCGCACUUCUUUGGCCACCUUCCGGGUUUACUUGUGACGCCCCUCCUUUAUUUCCAUCAGCUUCGGUUUCUUCCUCUUAAUUUCCCGUUUUAAGGCGGUCCCGCCUUUUUUGUGGUGAUCCCUUUCUGCUUAGUCUCUCCGUUCCAUUCCUAUUACCCUCUCCGGGUUUCUAUUUGCCGUUCUGAAGGUUCAAGAGUCCUCCCCUGCGGUAAACACUUACCAAUUUUUGCCAACUUCGUCCCUAUGCGGAUUUCUCGAACCCC